UACAGAGGUGGCAAGCGUUGUUCGGAAUUACUGGGCGUAAAGGGCGCGUAGGCGGCCUUCUAAGUCAGACGUGAAAUCCCCCGGCUUAACCUGGGAACUGCGUCUGAUACUGGGAGGCUUGAGUAUGGGAGAGGGAUGUAGAAUUCCAGGUGUAGCGGUGAAAUGCGUAGAUAUCUGGAGGAAUACCGAUGGCGAAGGCAGCCCCCUGGGAUAACACUGACGCUCAUGCACGAAAGCGUGGGGAGCAAACAGG
rnacentral:rRNA from 1 species